UUAUUAUAUAGGAUCUCAUCUGUUGGUUUUUAUUGUAUAUAACGAUUUCUAGGCCUCUGUUAGGUUUAUGGUUGUUAUUUUGUUUUUUUUAGCGGGCAGAUCAAAGGAGCCCGGUGCUGGCUAGAUAAGAUGUUUUUGCAGCAGUCUCCAAGUUGAUGAUGGCUAGCUUGCCGCUAACUUCCGGCUUUGCGAAUUCUCAGUUUUGGUUUCUUUGUUUUUUUGCGCAACUGGAUUGACAGAAUUGUAGUUUUGGUAUUUCACUUUGUUUGCUCAAAACGAGAUUUUGCUAAUAGGACAUGCAAAGAUUGACCUUUCACAAGACUUGAUUGAACUCUGUUUGAGUGUUUGAUUUUCAAUGCAUAUCACCUUCAACAACAUAUAGCUGCACAUGGUUUUGGUUUCUCCUCCAUUGCCUGAUUCCCCUGUUACAACACUUGAUGAAGGUUGAAUUGAAGUUAGACUUUUGUGGAGUUCUCUAGUCACUUUGUUGCUAUGAUUGGUAAUGUAUCUUCAUGUUUAUAGACAAAGUUGUAGAAUUCGUGGAUUGGGAUUGGACCAGCGAGGUUGAGAGACGUUUUUUUUUUUUAAAUUGGGGAGAUGUCAGAUUGGGUAAUUUAUAUACAAAAAUAUAAUUUAUGAAAUUA